rnacentral:misc_RNA from 1 species
UCCGGUUUGUCACCGGCGGUCCCCUUAGAGUUCCCAACUGAAUGCUGGCAACUAAGGGCAAGGGUUGCGCUCGUUGCGGGACUUAACCCAACAUCUCGCGACACGAGCUGACGACAGCCAUGCAGCACCUGUGUUACGGUUCUCUUUCGAGCACUCCCUGAUCUCUCAAGGAUUCCGUACAUGUCAAGGGCUGGUAAGGUUCUGCGCGUUGCGUCGAAUUAAACCACAUGCUCCACCGCUUGUGCGGGCCCCCGUCAAUUCCUUUGAGUUUUAGCCUUGCGGCCGUAGUCCCCAGGCGGAGAACUUAUCGCGUUAGCUUCGGCACCGAGGGGGUCGAUACCCCCGACACCUAGUUCUCAUCGUUUACAGCGUGGACUAC